UUACACAGAUAUUAUAUUGCGUCCCUUUCCUUCCCCCCCUCUCCUUUUGAGCCAUUGUGCUUAACUGAAUUUUAUAAAGCUGAUCGAUAUCUUGGUAAAAUAUUCAUUUUUAAACUAGCGGGCAGCGAAAUCUUUGCUUUGUGCUAAAGUCAACAGUAGCACAGUUUCAGCUCAAAUAAAUGCAGGGAUGCUUCCAGCUCCCUCAGAGCCGGGCGCGGCGCAGCCGCUCGUCCUGCGGCCGGGGCGCAGGCGCGGGGCAGCUGGCCGAGCCCCGCCGCCACGGGGCUGGGUGCCGGGCAGGGACCCUCCCGCUUCCCCCUCCUGCCAUGGGCCGGGCCUUACGCCCUCCUGCUCUUCCCCAGGUGGCCCCUGCUCGUUAUAGACCAGAGGGGCAGGAAAGCCUUCGAUGUACUUUUUAUUUGCUGCAGGCAGUGCAGAUUUCUGCAGCCAGAGCCUCGCUGCUGCCAGAUUGCUGCCAGCGCCAACAAUCCGUCGCCGGAGCAAGGUGCGCACCCUUGGCUGGGGACGGGCCGGCUCUCUGCAGGUCUCCGACCCCACAGUCGCACAAGCAGUACAAAGAAUGAGCCUCCUCCCUCCGCGGCUGGACAGCAGCUAGCCAAGUGCCCCGCAGCACCGAGGAGUGCAAGUGUGGGGAUUUCAGUUCCAUCCCGGUACUGACGGUGGCAAUGCUGGAGGAGUUGGGGACCUCGAGAUGCUCCGUGUGUCACCAGGCUGUCUUCUGCACGCAGGCGAAGCAGCCGCUCGGUGCGCUCCAUUAUGUGUGUGCACUUAUCCUCAACUUCCCUCUCCUUUGUUUAUUUUAAUAAUGGCACAGGGAGUCAGUUUCAGGGGUAGAUGGGGCAAACUUCUGGGCUUUACAGAGUGUGUUGCUACUGUGUAUGCAUCUCCUAUUAAAUCCACAGAUUCCCAUCUCCGAUUGCCUCUUUGUGUCUGUCCUUGUGCAUGAUACCUGUGUUAUGGUUCAACAGCUCCCAAUGGGAAUGGGGAGAAGCUAUCUUUGCCUUGAGGACAGUUAGGAAGAUGCUUUUCCAGGAUCGAUCCUUUUAGGAAUCAGGGAAGUG